rnacentral:rRNA from 1 species
UACGUAGGGUGCGAGCGUUAAUCGGAAUUACUGGGCGUAAAGUGUGCGCAGGCGGUUUCGCAAGUCAAGUGUGAAAGCCCCGGGCUUAACCUGGGAACUGCGCUUGAAACUACGGAACUCGAGUAUGGCAGAGGAAGGUGGAAUUCCACGUGUAGCGGUGAAAUGCGUAGAGAUGUGGAGGAACACCGAUGGCGAAGGCGGGUCUCUGGGCCGAUACUGACGCUGGAGGAGCGAAAGCGUGGGGAGCAAACAGG